UGUGUGUGUGUGUGUGUGUGUGUAUGUAUGUAUGUAUGUGUAUAUAUAUAUAUAUACACACACACACACAGACACACC